rnacentral:lncRNA from 1 species
CGGAUGCUCCCAACUUUGCAACGUGUUGCCUUUGUGACAUCCCUGCAUGUCACCAGUAAUCGUAGGCAGCAUUAGUUAGGCAAAGAUUGUACACUUGGAUUACAGUCAUGAUUCAAUUAUUCAAGAUAUGUAUUUGCUUUCCUGUCAAGUAGCAACCGUAAGGUGCCACUCUCCAGUGAGAUCCUGUGUCAGCUCAGCCUCUGCCCUUGUUCUUGGUGCUGCCCCUUGAUUCCAUCCCUGUCUCUGUUGUCCCUGUCUCUGCUUUGGUUUCUGAGUGGUUUAACUCUCUGUGGUUGUUUUCGAAUCUCAACAGGAGCCCCUGGACUAGCAAGACUGCCUGGUACCAUGGACCCCAAUCCUUUCAUCUACUGUACCUGCUGUGACUACUGCAAACUGGGACCAACAAAGCUAAUCAAGACCCCUUAUCCACUUCCAAAGACUCCCACAGGGAAGUUUAAGUAAAGAUAGGCUGGGUUGGACUAGGUAUGAAAGACUCCGAGAGGAGCCCCUCGCUCAGGCCUCGGGACAAGAGUAGACACCCAAAAACUCCCGAGAGACCAAGCUUGAUGCAAACCACAUGAGGCUUUAUUCGGGGAAAGCCAGAGCUCUGGGGAUGACUCAUAUCCCAUGCAGGGGUAGAGGAGUCGACCACGAGGGGAAAGAGGUCUCAGUUUUAAUAGGCCCUCGGGGGGGGGGGGGGGAAAGGAGAAGGGGGGAGUAGGGGAUUUCCAGAUCUAAACAAUGUCUAUUCUCAAGAAAUGGGUAUGGGAGGGGUACAAGGAAAGAGUCUGGUGCAGGUGUAGCAACUCAGGAUUGGCCUGGCUGUGGUUGCUGGGGAGAUUUUCCAACUCUUCCCAAGCAACCAAUAUCAAAAACACCUGGCAAUGGGCUUCAUCAGUGGGCACACACAUGGGUUCAAGGAACGGUCAAAACAUUGGCAGACACACAGGUUCAAGGAGCAGCCAGAGCAUUGUGCACCUCUAUUUUUCUAAAUCAGUGAAACUAGUUCUGCUAGCAAUGACAUCUAUUUUGCCAAUUUCAGGGCUUCUGUGACCUUUUAUAUUCUGUCAGGAUCUUUCAGGUACAGGAGGUGAACCUUUCCUCUGUGGUCCUCUUUGCCUUACAAGACUUCCUAGUAGAGAGCUUGCCACCAGUUCCCCACAGAACAGGGUGCCCUGCAUUCCUGCCUUCCCCUCCAGCCUGGGUGUUGCCCUGAUCUUGCAAGCCUGUUUGACUCAAUGGCAUUUCAGUAAAGUCCCAACUUUGCAAUUUUGUAGUACAAUGUGUGUGUGUGUGUGUGUGUGUGUGUGUGUGUGUGUGUGUGUAAAACACCCAGAGAGCUUUGGUGCCGGCUGCCCCUCCCCAGGAACCUGGCCUUGGGGUUCGUGCUGAUGACCAGGAGAUAGUAGAUAAGAACCUGCACCUUGGACCUGAGGUCUUAAAGGCCUCAACUCUUCACAAUCCCAAUGAUUACAUUCCAGUUUGGAGUCAGCAUGGGCAUGUCCUUAUCUGGGAAGAUUGAGAUAGCUUUUUUGAUUUCCAGUGUUCAUUUUAUUGUUUCCAGGCCAGUUUUACCUCUACCAGUUUCAAAAGAAUGCAACUUGCUCCUGUCCCAACCAGGAAAAUCUAUUUCCCUAAGGACAAGGCCCAGUCAGGAAAGAAUGAGAGCAGCAAAGCAUCUUCGGUGUGAUGGUGUAUCCAGGACUGUAGCCUCCCUCAGCCCUGAAGCAGGAUGAUCCAGACUUUGACCUUGCUGCAACUGAGAAGGAGAUUAGCUAGAUUCCAACCUAGAUGGCUCUUUUGUUCUGUCACAUGCCACUGCUCUCUCCAAGACACUACUACCUGCUGAGAAGCCCCAGAGACAUUCCGGAGGAACAACCUAUUCUGCAUGUCACCUACAGGCUGGCUCCAGAC